GAUGAACGCUGGCGGCGUGCCUAAUACAUGCAAGUCGAGCGAAUGGAUUGAGAGCUUGCUCUCAAGAAGUUAGCGGCGGACGGGUGAGUAACACGUGGGUAACCUGCCCAUAAGACUGGGAUAACUCCGGGAAACCGGGGCUAAUACCGGAUAACAUUUUGAACUGCAUGGUUCGAAAUUGAAAGGCGGCUUCGGCUGUCACUUAUGGAUGGACCCGCGUCGCAUUAGCUAGUUGGUGAGGUAACGGCUCACCAAGGCAACGAUGCGUAGCCGACCUGAGAGGGUGAUCGGCCACACUGGGACUGAGACACGGCCCAGACUCCUACGGGAGGCAGCAGUAGGGAAUCUUCCGCAAUGGACGAAAGUCUGACGGAGCAACGCCGCGUGAGUGAUGAAGGCUUUCGGGUCGUAAAACUCUGUUGUUAGGGAAGAACAAGUGCUAGUUGAAUAAGCUGGCACCUUGACGGUACCUAACCAGAAAGCCACGGCUAACUACGUGCCAGCAGCCGCCGUAA
rnacentral:rRNA from 1 species